rnacentral:rRNA from 1 species
UAGGGAAUCUUCGGCAAUGGACGCAAGUCUGACGGAGCAACGCCGCGUGAGUGAAGAAGGAUUUCGGUUCGUAAAACUCUGUUGUUAGAGAAGAACAGCGCAUAGAGUAAAUGUUAUGCGAGUGACGGUAUCUAAACAGAAAGCAACGGCUAACUACGUGCCAGCAGCCGCGGUAAUACGUAGGUGGCGAGCGUUGUCCGGAUUUAUUGGGCGUAAAGCGAGCGCAGGCGGUCAAGUAAGACAGAUGUGAAAGCCCCCGGCUCAACCGGGGAGGGGCAUUGGAAACUGGAUGACUUGAGUGCAGAAGAGGGGGGUGGAAUUCCAUGUGUAGCAGUGAAAUGCGUAGAUAUGUGGAGGAACACCGGUGGCGAAGGCGACUCUCUGGGCUGUAACUGACGCUGAUGCUCGAAAGCGUGGGUAGCAAACAGG